UACAGGGGGUGCAAACGUUGCUCGGAAUCAUUGGGCGUAAAGCGCACGUAGGCGGUUCGUUAUGUCGGAUGUGAAAGCCCUUGGCUUAACCGAGGAAGUGCAUCCGAAACUGGCGAGCUAGAGUACGAAAGAGGAUCGCGGAAUUCCCGGUGUAGAGGUGAAAUGCGUAGAUAUCGGGAGGAACACCUGUGGCGAAAGCGGCUCACUGGACCACAACUGACGCUGAGGC
rnacentral:rRNA from 1 species